AUGUCGUUUAUUUAUGCAGAAUCAGACAACAAUCCCGUACGAAAACCCAAAGUGACGGUCUACUCAGCGUCCAACCCUGAUUCGAAUGGCAAGACCACCCUGCUAUGUCUGGCUAGAGACAUGUUUCCAGACUUGGUCAAGAUCUCAUGGAAGAUGGAAGAUGCAAACGGCCGAACAGUGGAGGUGCCCAAAGCAGAGACGGAAGUGCUGGAGCAGAGGGAGGAAGGACAGACGACCAGUAUGAUCAUCAUCGAUAAAGAGAAGGCGUGCAAGAACAAAUACAGAUGUUUUGUGGAGCAUGAAGGGGACCAUCAAGAUGUUGACAUGCUAAAAGAUUACUUCCCCUUCAUGUGCAGUCUGAACCUGGCCUCUCUGGUUUAUACAGUGAUGAUAGUGAAGAGCAUGGUGUACUGCUGUGGGCUCUCUCUCCUGCUGCACCACAGGAACAUGGGGAAGUGGACAAAAUGCCUGUAGAAAGGAUACCCUCCAGUAUGGAUAGAGUUGUAGUAGGCUGGGAAUAACAUGGAUUUUACAUCCCAUUGAGGUCUAAUAUCUCAUUUGUAGUCUAUUGCUUUUAUUUUUUCAGUUUUGUUUUUUAAGAUGCUAAAAUAUUGUGAGCCAUAGAUUUCCAUGUCUUCAACUGCCAAAUAUGACAUUAAUUGCAGAA